rnacentral:rRNA from 1 species
UAGGGAAUCUUCGGCAAUGGGGGCAACCCUGACCGAGCAACGCCGCGUGAGUGAAGAAGGUUUUCGGAUCGUAAAGCUCUGUUGUAAGAGAAGAACGUGUGUGAGAGUGGUAAGUUCACACAGUGACGGUAACUUACCAGAAAGGGACGGCUAACUACGUGCCAGCAGCCGCGGUAAUACGUAGGUCCCGAGCGUUGUCCGGAUUUAUUGGGCGUAAAGCGAGCGCAGGCGGUUUAAUAAGUCUGAAGUUAAAGGCAGUGGCUUAACCAUUGUUCGCUUUGGAAAAUGGUAAACUUGAGUGCAGAAGGGGAGAGUGGAAUUCCAUGUGUAGCGGUGAAAUGCGUAGAUAUAUGGAGGAACACCGGUGGCGAAAGCGGCUCUCUGGUCUGUAACUGACGCUGAGGCUCGAAAGCGUGGGGAGCAAACAGG